UACGUAGGGUGCGAGCGUUAAUCGGAAUUACUGGGCGUAAAGCGUGCGCAGGCGGUUCGUUGUGUCGGCGGUGAAAGCCCCGGGCUUAACCUGGGAAUGGCAUUGGAAACUGGCGGGCUUGAGUGUGGCAGAGGGGGGUGGAAUUCCGCGUGUAGCAGUGAAAUGCGUAGAGAUGCGGAGGAACACCGAUGGCGAAGGCAGCCCCCUGGGCUAACACUGACGCUCAGGCACGAAAGCGUGGGGAGCAAACAGG
rnacentral:rRNA from 1 species